ensembl:lncRNA
AUGGACGAGUUACGACUUGGCAUCACCCACAGUAAGAGACUUUUGGACUGCAAUGUCAUGGUUUUCACAGAAACAUGGCUACACAGUGACGUACCCAAUAAUGCUAUUGAGCUGGCCGGACGCUACAUGCUUCGGGCAGAUAGAACGGCAGAUGACUCCGGCAAAACAAGAGGUGGUGGAUUGUGCAUUUAUGUCAACAAAGCUUGGUGUACGAACACUAUCAUUGUUGGGAGACACUGCUCAGCUAACCUAGAGUUUCUCAUGGUUAAAUGUAGGCCUUUUUAUCUGCCGCGGGAGUUCACUUCCACCAUAAUAACUGCAGUCUAUAUUCCACCGGAUGCUAAUGCCAAGCUUGCUUUGAACGAACUUCAUGCAGCCAUUAGUAAACAACAGACUGCUCACCCGGAGGCUGCUUUUAUUGUCGCGGGUGAUUUUAAUCACUGCAAAUUAAAGACAGUGCUCCCCAAAUUUCAUCAGCAUGUUUCCUGCCACACCAGAGGAGACAAAACUUUGGAUCAUGUUUACACAAACAUUGAUGGAGCUUACACCGCGACCCCCCUCCCCCACCUCGGACAGUCUGAUCACCUUUCUUUGUUUCUCACCCCCAAGUAUUCACCCCUCAUCAACCGUGUGAAGCCAUCAGUGAGGACCAUCAAAGUUUGGCCAACUGGAGCAGACUCUUUACUUCAGGACAGGUUUCAACACACUGACUGGAGUAUGUUUGCUUCUCAGGCUGCCUGUGGCUCUCACACGGACAUUGAUAUCUACACCUCCUCUGUACUGACUUACAUCAACAUUACCAUUGACAGUGUUACAACAGAAAAACAGAUAACAACAUACCCUAAUCAGAAGCCAUGGAUGAACAAGGAGGUGCGAAUUCUGCUGAAAGCCCGCAACACUGCCUUCAGGUCAGAUGACGCUCAGGCCUACAGUAAAUCCAGGGCUAACCUGAAAAGGGGCAUCAAAAAGGCCAAGUACUGCUACAAGCUGAAGGUAGAGGAACACUUUUCCAACUCUGACCCCCGACGCAUGUGGCAGGGCAUCCAGGUCAUCAGUGACUACAAGUCAAGUAACUCCACUCCAACGGUCACGGACGUCUCCUUCCUUAACGAGCUAAAUGACUUUUAUGCUCGCUUCAACAGCGACAGCAAGGAGACGGCCACCAAAACCACACACUCAGCAGAUCACCAACCUCUCAAACUCACCUCCUCAGAUGUCCACACUGCAUUGAGCCGGAUCAACGCACGCAAGGCUGCCGGCCCGGACGGCAUUCCUGGACGUGUGCUUAGAGCAUGUGCAGAGCAGCUUGCAGGGGUCUUCACAGACAUUUUCAACCUGUCCCUCACCCAAGCAACUGUGCCAACAUGUUUUAAGUCCACAUCCAUUGUGCCAGUACCAAAACACUCCUCCCCAAUGUGCCUGAAUGACUAUCGCCCUGUAGCACUCACACCCAUCAUUAUGAAGUGCUUUGAGCGAUUGGUCCUAUCACACCUCAAAGACUGCCUCCCACCCACACUGGACCCACACCAAUUUGCCUACCGCUGA